rnacentral:miRNA from 1 species
GAUGCUGCUGCUGAUGCU